rnacentral:lncRNA from 1 species
UGGAUGGGUGGUUUUGUAUGUUUCAUCAAAUUUGGAGCAUUUUUUACCAUUAUUUCUUCAAAUAUUUUUUCUCUUCCCUCUUUCCUUUCCUUCUCAGCUUCCAAUUACAAGUAUGUGAUCCAUACUUGCAUGAGUAUUUUCCCACAGGUUACUAAAGAUUCAUUUAAAUUUUCUUUUUAGUCUCUUUUGACUGAAUUUUAGUUUUGAAAGUUUCUAUUGCAACAUUCAAGUUCACUGAUCUUUUCUUCUUCACAUCUAAUCUGUUCAUUUCAUAAAGAAAUUUUUUAUUUAAGAUUUUUAUUUUUGGCUCUUGUAUUUCCUUUUUAAUUUUUCUCCUUCUUUGAUGAUUACUUUCAUGUUUCCUUUAAAUUCGUGUGUAUAUCUGUAAUUGGUGUUUUCAAUCCUUUGUGUGCUAUUUCCAACAUCCAUCAUUCCUGAGUGUGUUUCUAUUGACUGGUUUUUCUCUUGGUAGGAGUUGCACUUUUGUGCAUCUUUACAUGUCUAUAUUUCUUAUAUGACACCGAACAUUGUUAAUUAUACCUUACUUAAUGCUAGAUUUUGUUGUCCUCCUCUAAAGAUUGGUAGAUAUUUUUCUGGCAGCCAACUGAGUUACUUAGAAAUUACCCUGACCCUUUUGAGGUUUGUUUUGAAGCUUUGACUGAAGGAAAGGGGUUAGAUUAGACUUUAUUUAGGGCUUCUUUACUCCUCCUGCCAAGACAUGACUUUUCUGGGAUCUCAACUGAACACACCAGAUUUUCUACAAGGACGCUCCACUCUGGCUGGUAGGAAUGCAGGAGUCCCCCCAUGUCCCACAUGAGCUCUGAAAGUGCCUGCUCACUGCUUUCCAAUCACCCUUUGCCCAGCCUCCUGGAGUUUCGUGAUAGACAUCCACAACCUAAUUUUUAUAACAGAUCCAUGGGGAACCCUGUUGUAUUAAUCUGUUCUCACACUGCUAUAAAGAAUGACCUGAGACUGGGUAAUUUAUGAGGAAAAGAGGUUUAGUUGACUCACAGUUCCACAGGCUGUACAGGAAGCAUGGUUGGGGAAGCCUCAGAAAACUUAAAACCAUGGCAGAAGGGGAAGAGAAAGCAAACACAUCCUUCACAUGGCAGAGCAGGAGGGGGAGUGAUAAUCUCAUGAGAUCUCACUCACUAUCACAAGAACAGCAAGGGGUAAAUCUGCCCCCAUGAUCCAAUCAUCUCCCCCCAGGCCUCUCCUCCAACACUAAAGACCACGAUUCAACAGGAGAUUUGGGUAGGGACAUAGAGCCAAGCCAUAUCAACUGUACAGAUUUCUGGAUAUUUUUCUGUACAUUACUCCCUCCUCUCAAAACUGCUGCAUUGGGGAUUAAGUUUCCAACACAUAAACUUUGUGGGACACAUGCAACCAUAGCAAUUCCCCUCCAGGGAGGUUCUGCAAAGAGGCCUGCCACUGAUUCCUCAUUGCAUGGAGAUGAGAUCUCCCUUAUUCUGCAAGGCCAUGUGGUUUUUCCAUCUCUUUCUAAUCUGAGUGUUCAGGUAAAAGUCCACACCUGCUAACAGGGGCAAGCAGGUGCUAAAAACUAGUGAAAAAACUAAUGAAGAGGGCCCAACUAACUGAAGAGUAGCAUGCCCACCCAAAGGGUCAGCUGUGACCAAGAUCCCACAAAGGUAGCCAUGCACAAAUGCAGGCCAGGGCUGCUUGACUUCAGAUUCUUCAAAAGAAGCUGCAAGUCACAAUUUUUACAUGAAAUCUCCUGUGUGCUAAAAGUUAGCAACUGUGGGCCAGGCUCGGUGAAUAAGACUGGACCAGUCACUCAUAUCUCUGCCUUCAGAGAUAUGACCUCAGAGAUUAAACCUCUAGUGUUUACUAGAGGUUAAACACUAGUGAGGAGGCAGAUAUUAGCCCAACCAUCACAAGAAUACAUGACUACAAACUGAGAUAAAUAUUAGGAAGAAAAAUUGGAGGAAACUAAGAGAGUUUAUUACAGCAGAUUUUACUGGCUAUGAUAUUUGAACUGAAUGUUGAAGG